GACAAUGGGCGCAAGCCUGAUCCAGCCAUGCCGCGUGCGUGAUGAAGGCCUUAGGGUUGUAAAGCUCUUUUAGCAGGGAAGAUAAUGACGGUACCUGCAGAAAAAGCCCCGGCUAACUUCGUGCCAGCAGCCGCGGUAAUACGAAGGGGGCUAGCGUUGCACGGAAUUACUGGGCGUAACGCGCACGUAGGCGGACUCUUAAGUCGGUGGUGAAAUACUGGAGCUCAACUCCAGAAAUGCCUUCGAUACUGGGAGUCUUGAGUUCGGGAGAGGUGAGUGGAACUGCGAGUGUAGAGGUGAAAUUCGUAGAUAUUCGCAAGAACACCAGUGGCGAAGGCGGCUCACUGGCCCGAUACUGACGCUGAGGUGCGAAAGCGUGGGGAGCAAACA
rnacentral:rRNA from 1 species